UACGUAGGGGGCAAGCGUUGUCCGGAUUUAUUGGGCGUAAAGAGCGUGUAGGCGGCUAGAUAGGUCCGUUGUGAAAACUGGAGGCUCAACCUCCAGCUGUCGAUGGAAACCAUCUGGCUAGAGUCCGGAAGAGGAGAGUGGAAUUCCUGGUGUAGCGGUGAAAUGCGCAGAUAUCAGGAGGAACACCAGUGGCGAAGGCGGAUCUCUGGGCCUUACCUGACGCUCAGGUGCGAAAGCUAGGGGAGCGAACAGG
rnacentral:rRNA from 1 species